rnacentral:misc_RNA from 1 species
AACGGUCUAUACCUGCGGUACCUGCGGAGGGAUCAUUACUGAGUGUUGAUCUGUUUUUAACGGAUCGCCUCCCACCCUUUGUUUAUCAAAACCUGUUGCUUCGGCGUUUCGAUUCUAAAAUCUUUUUUGUCAAAAAGAAAAGAUUUUGAACCGUUGGCUUUCUUUUGAAAAGCGAAUGUGUUAUUCGCCGAAGGACUUUUUUAUAUACUCUUUGUUUUUGAAGUUGUCUGAGUUUUUGAA